CCUACGGGAGGCAGCAGUGGGGAAUAUUGCACAAUGGGGGAAACCCUGAUGCAGCGACGCCGCGUGAGUGAAGAAGUAUCUCGGUACGUAAAGCUCUAUCAGCAGGGAAGAAAAUGACGGUACCUGACUAAGAAGCCCCGGCUAACUACGUGCCAGCAGCCGCGGUAAUACGUAGGGGGCAAGCGUGUACCGGAUUUACUGGGGGUAAAGGGAGCGUAGACGGCAGCACAAGUCUGGAGUGAAAUCCCGGGGCUUAACCCCGGAACUGCUUUGGAAACUGUGCGGCUGGAGUGCAGGAGGGGUAAGCGGAAUUCCUAGUGUAGCGGUGAAAUGCGUAGAUAUUAGGAGGAACACCGGUGGCGAUGGCGGCUUACUGGACUGUAACUGACGUUGAGGCUCGAAAGCGUGGGGAGCAAACAGGAUUAGAUACCCGGGUAGUC
rnacentral:rRNA from 1 species